rnacentral:rRNA from 1 species
AAAAGGUGGCUAUGCUACCGCUUUUGGAUGGGCCCGCGGCGCAUUAGCUAGUUGGUGGGGUAAAGGCUUACCAAGGCAAUGAUGCGUAGCCGAACUGAGAGGUUGAUCGGCCACAUUGGGACUGAGACACGGCCCAAACUCCUACGGGAGGCAGCAGUAGGGAACCUUCCACAAUGGGCGAAAGCCUGAUGGAGCAACGCCGCGUGGGUGAAGAAGGUCUUCGGAUCGUAAAACCCUGUUGUUAGAGAAGAAAGUGCGUGAGAGUAACUGUUCACGUUUCGACGGUAUCUAACCAGAAAGCCACGGCUAACUACGUGCCAGCAGCCGCGGUAAUACGUAGGUGGCAAGCGUUAUCCGGAUUUAUUGGGCGUAAAGGGAACGCAGGCGGUCUUUUAAGUCUGAUGUGAAAGCCUUCGGCUUAACCGGAGUAGUGCAUUGGAAACUGGGAGACUUGAGUGCAGAAGAGGAGAGUGGAACUCCAUGUGUAGCGGUGAAAUGCGUAGAUAUAUGGAAGAACACCAGUGGCGAAAGCGGCUCUCUGGUCUGUAACUGACGCUGAGGUUCGAAAGCGUGGGUAGCAAACAGGAUUAGAUACCCUGGUAGUCCACGCCGUAAACGAUGAAUGCUAAGUGUUGGAGGGUUUCCGCCCUUCA